rnacentral:lncRNA from 1 species
UUGGAGCUAGGGUUAGGGUUAGGGUUAGGGUUGGAGUUAGGGUUAGUGUUGGAGCUAGGGUUAGGGUUGGGCUUGGAGCUAGGAUUUUUCUGAGUGCAAUGAACCAACUCCCGAGUCUCUAGGACGUUCCUAAAAAAAUUUGAUUUUUUCCCAUAGGAAUGCAUGGGUUAGGGUUAGGGUUAGGGUUGGAGCUAGGGUUAGGGUUAGGGUUAGGGUUGGAGUUAGGGUUAGUGUUGGAGCUAGGGUUAUGGUUGGGCUUGGAGCUAGGAUUUUUCUGAGUGCAAUGAACCAACUCCCGAGUCUCUAGGACGUUCCUACAAAAAUUUAAAUUUUUUCCCAUAGGAAUGCAUGGGUUAGGGUUAGGGUUAGGGUUGGAGCUAGGGUUAGGGUUAGGGUUAGGGUUGGAGUUAGGGUUAGUGUUGGAGCUAGGGUUAGGGUUGGGCUUGGAGCUAGGAUUUUUCUGAGUGCAAUGAACCAACUCCCGAGUCUCUAGGACGUUCCUAAAAAAAUUUGAUUUUUUCCCAUAGGAAUGCAUGGGUUAGGGUUAGGGUUAGGGUUGGAGCUGGGGUUAGGGUUAGGGUUGGAGUUAGGGUUAGUGUUGGAGCUAGGGUUAGGGUUGGGCUUGGAGCUAGGAUUUUUCUGAGUGCAAUGAACCAACUCCCGAGUCUCUAGGAUGUUCCUACAAAAAUUUGAUUUUUUUUCCCAUAGGAAUGCAUGGGUUAGGGUUAGGGUUAGGGUUGGAGCUAGGGUUAGGGUUAGGGUUAGGGUUGGAGUUAGGGUUAGUGUUGGAGCUAGGGUUAGGGUUGGGCUUGGAGCUAGGAUUUUUCUGAGUGCAAUGAACCAACUCCCGAGUCUCUAGGACGUUCCUAAAAAAAUUUGAUUUUUUCCCAUAGGAAUGCAUGGGUUAGGGUUAGGGUUAGGGUUGGAGCUAGGGUUAGGGUUAGGGUUAGGGUUGGAGUUAGGGUUAGUGUUGGAGCUAGGGUUAGGGUUGGGCUUGGAGCUAGGAUUUUUCUGAGUGCAAUGAACCAACUCCCGAGUCUCUAGGACGUUCCUAAAAAAAUUUGAUUUUUUUUCCCAUAGGAAUGCAUGGGUUAGGGUUAGGGUUAGGGUUGGAGCUAGGGUUAGGGUUAGGGUUGGAGUUAGGGUUAGUGUUGGAGCUAGGGUUAGGGUUGGGCUUGGAGCUAGGAUUUUUCUGAGUGCAAUGAACCAACUCCCGAGUCUCUAGGACGUUCCUAAAAAAAUUUGAUUUUUUUCCCAUAGGAAUGCAUGGGUUAGGGUUAGGGUUAGGGUUGGAGCUAGGGUUAGGGUUAGGGUUAGGGUUGGAGUUAGGGUUAGUGUUGGAGCUAGGGUUAGGGUUGGGCUUGGAGCUAGGAUUUUUCUGAGUGCAAUGAACCAACUCCCGAGUCUCUAGGACGUUCCUAAAAAAAUUUGAUUUUUUUCCCAUAGGAAUGCAUGGGUUAGGGUUAGGGUUAGGGUUGGAGCUAGGGUUAGGGUUAGGGUUAGGGUUGGAGUUAGGGUUAGUGUUGGAGCUAGGGUUAGGGUUGGGCUUGGAGCUAGGAUUUUUCUGAGUGCAAUGAACCAACUCCCGAGUCUCUAGGACGUUCCUAAAAAAAUUUGAUUUUUUUCCCAUAGGAAUGCAUGGGUUAGGGUUAGGGUUAGGGUUGGAGCUAGGGUUAGGGUUAGGGUUAGGGUUGGAGUUAGGGUUAGUGUUGGAGCUAGGGUUAGGGUUGGGCUUGGAGCUAGGAUUUUUCUGAGUGCAAUGAACCAACUCCCGAGUCUCUAGGACGUUCCUAAAAAAAUUGAUUUUUUUCCCAUAGGAAUGCAUGGGUUAGGGUUAGGGUUAGGGUUGGAGCUAGGGUUAGGGUUAGGGUUAGGGUUGGAGUUAGGGUUAGUGUUGGAGCUAGGGUUAGGGUUGGGCUUGGAGCUAGGAUUUUUCUGAGUGCAAUGAACCAACUCCCGAGUCUCUAGGACGUUCCUAUAAAAAUUGAUUUUUUCCCAUAGGAAUGCAUGGGUUAGGGUUAGGGUUAGGGUUAGGGUUGGAGCUAGGGUUAGGGUUAGGGUUAGGGUUGGAGUUAGGGUUAGUGUUGGAGCUAGGGUUAGGGUUGGGCUUGGAGCUAGGAUUUUUCUGAGUGCAAUGAACCAACUCCCGAGUCUCUAGGACGUUCCUAAAAAAUUUGAUUUUUUCCCAUAGGAAUGCAUGGGUUAGGGUUAGGGUUAGGGUUGGAGCUAGGGUUAGGGUUAGGGUUAGGGUUGGAGUUAGGGUUAGUGUUGGAGCUAGGGUUAGGGUUGGGCUUGGAGCUAGGAUUUUUCUGAGUGCAAUGAACCAACUCCCGAGUCUCUAGGACGUUCCUAAAAAAAUUUGAUUUUUUCCCAUAGGAAUGCAUGGGUUAGGGUUAGGGUUAGGGUUGGAGCUAGGGUUAGGGUUAGGGUUAGGGUUGGAGUUAGGGUUAGUGUUGGAGCUAGGGUUAGGGUUGGGCUUGGAGCUAGGAUUUUUCUGAGUGCAAUGAACCAACUCCCGAGUCUCUAGGACGUUCCUAAAAAAAAUGAUUUUUUCCCAUAGGAAUGCAUGGGUUAGGGUUAGGGUUAGGGUUGGAGCUAGGGUUAGGGUUAGGGUUAGGGUUGGAGUUAGGGUUAGUGUUGGAGCUAGGGUUAGGGUUGGGCUUGGAGCUAGGAUUUUUCUGAGUGCAAUGAACCAACUCCCGAGUCUCUAGGACGUUCCUAAAAAAAUUUGAUUUUUUUCCCAUAGGAAUGCAUGGGUUAGGGUUAGGGUUAGGGUUAGGGUUGGAGCUAGGGUUAGGGUUAGGGUUAGGGUUGGAGUUAGGGUUAGUGUUGGAGCUAGGGUUAGGGUUGGGCUUGGAGCUAGGAUUUUUCUGAGUGCAAUGAACCAACUCCCGAGUCUCUAGGACGUUCCUAAAAAAAUUGAUUUUUUCCCAUAGGAAUGCAUGGGUUAGGGUUAGGGUUAGGGUUAGGGUUGGAGCUAGGGUUAGGGUUAGGGUUAGGGUUGGAGUUAGGGUUAGUGUUGGAGCUAGGGUUAGGGUUGGGCUUGGAGCUAGGAUUUUUCUGAGUGCAAUGAACCAACUCCCGAGUCUCUAGGACGUUCCUAAAAAAAUUUGAUUUUUUCCCAUAGGAAUGCAUGGGUUAGGGUUAGGGUUAGGGUUGGAGCUAGGGUUAGGGUUAGGGUUAGGGUUGGAGUUAGGGUUAGUGUUGGAGCUAGGGUUAGGGUUGGGCUUGGAGCUAGGAUUUUUCUGAGUGCAAUGAACCAACUCCCGAGUCUCUAGGACGUUCCUAAAAAAAUUUGAUUUUUUUCCCAUAGGAAUGCAUGGGUUAGGGUUAGGGUUAGGGUUAGGGUUGGAGCUAGGGUUAGGGUUAGGGUUAGGGUUGGAGUUAGGGUUAGUGUUGGAGCUAGGGUUAGGGUUGGGCUUGGAGCUAGGAUUUUUCUGAGUGCAAUGAACCAACUCCCGAGUCUCUAGGACGUUCCUAAAAAAAUUUGAUUUUUUUCCCAUAGGAAUGCAUGGGUUAGGGUUAGGGUUAGGGUUGGAGCUAGGGUUAGGGUUAGGGUUAGGGUUGGAGUUAGGGUUAGUGUUGGAGCUAGGGUUAGGGUUGGGCUUGGAGCUAGGAUUUUUCUGAGUGCAAUGAACCAACUCCCGAGUCUCUAGGACGUUCCUAAAAAAAUUUGAUUUUUUUCCCAUAGGAAUGCAUGGGUUAGGGGUUAGGGUUAGGGUUGGAGCUAGGGUUAGGGUUAGGGUUAGGGUUGGAGUUAGGGUUAGUGUUGGAGCUAGGGUUAGGGUUGGGCUUGGAGCUAGG